rnacentral:rRNA from 1 species
GACGAACGCUGGCGGCGUGCUUAACACAUGCAAGUCGAACGAAGAGCGAUGGAAGCUUGCUUCUAUCAAUCUUAGUGGCGAACGGGUGAGUAACGCGUAAUCAACCUGCCCUUCAGAGGGGGACAACAGUUGGAAACGACUGCUAAUACCGCAUACGAUCCAAUCUCGGCAUCGAGAAUGGAUGAAAGGUGGCCUCUAUUUAUAAGCUAUCACUGAAGGAGGGGAUUGCGUCUGAUUAGCUAGUUGGAGGGGUAACGGCCCACCAAGGCGAUGAUCAGUAGCCGGUCUGAGAGGAUGAACGGCCACAUUGGGACUGAGACACGGCCCAGACUCCUACGGGAGGCAGCAGUGGGGAAUCUUCCGCAAUGGACGAAAGUCUGACGGAGCAACGCCGCGUGAGUGAUGACGGCCUUCGGGUUGUAAAGCUCUGUUAAUCGGGACGAAAGGCCUUCUUGCGAAUAGUUAGAAGGAUUGACG